UACAGAGGUGCCAAGCGUUAGGCGGAAUCACUGGGCUUAAAGCGCGCGUAAGCGGACAUUUAAGUGUCUUGUGAAAUCCCACGGCUCAACCGUGGAACUGCUGGGCAUACUGGACGUCUCGAGGCACUCAGGGGCGAGCGGAACAAGUGGUGGAGCGGUGAAAUGCGUAGAUAUCACUUGGAACGCCAAUGGUGAAGACAGCUCGCUGGGGGUGUCCUGACGCUGAGGCGCGAAAGCCAGGGGAGCGAACGGG
rnacentral:rRNA from 1 species